UGUCCGGAUUAUUGGGCGUAAAGAGCUUGUAGGCGGUUUGUCGCGUCUGCUGUGAAAGGCCGGAGCUUAACUCCGUGUAUUGCAGUGGGUACGGGCAGACUAGAGUGCAGUAGGGGAGACUGGAAUUCCUGGUGUAGCGGUGGAAUGCGCAGAUAUCAGGAGGAACACCGAUGGCGAAGGCAGGUCUCUGGGCUGUAACUGACGCUGAGAAGCGAAAGCAUGGGGAGCGAACAGGAUUAGAUACCCUGGUAGUCCAUGCCGUAAACGUUGGGCACUAGGUGUGGGGGACAUUCCACGUUUUCCGCGCCGUAGCUAACGCAUUAAGUGCCCCGCCUGGGGAGUACGGCCGCAAGGCUAAAACUCAAAGAAAUUGACGGGGGCCCGCACAAGCGGCGGAGCAUGCGGAUUAAUUCGAUGCAACGCGAAGAACCUUACCAAGGCUUGACAUAUACUGGACCGCAUCAGAGAUGGUGUUUCCCUUCGGGGCUGGUAUACAGGUGGUGCAUGGUUGUCGUCAGCUCGUGUCGUGA
rnacentral:rRNA from 1 species